rnacentral:tRNA from 1 species
AGGGGUAUAGCUCAGUGGUACAACACUUGGUUGGUGCACAUAAGGCCCUGGGUUCCAUCCCCAGUACCACCA